UCCAGAGGAUUUGCAACAACACACAGCC
rnacentral:piRNA from 1 species